rnacentral:piRNA from 1 species
UUAAAAGGCAGCUAGUGAUGGUUUUCAUCC